UAUUGUAGUGCUGGGAUUAGAAUCCAGAGCUACAGCUAAGAAGGUUUGGCCCCAGGUCAGUAGUUGGAUGGGAAACCACUGAAGAACCCCUUGGUGCUGCAAGAA
rnacentral:rRNA from 1 species